UACGGAGGGUGCGAGCGUUGUCCGGAAUUAUUGGGCGUAAAGAGCUCGUAGGCGGUUUGUUGCGUCGGCUGUGAAAUCCCGAGGCUCAACCUCGGGUCUGCAGUCGAUACGAGCAAACUAGAGUGUUGCAGGGGAGACUGGAAUUCCUGGUGUAGCGGUGAAAUGCGCAGAUAUCAGGAGGAACACCGGUGGCGAAGGCGGGUCUCUGGGCAACAACUGACGCUGGAGGAGCGAAAGCCGUGGGGAGCGAACAGG
rnacentral:rRNA from 1 species